rnacentral:rRNA from 1 species
GAUGAACGCUGGCGGCGUGCUUAACACAUGCAAGUCGAACGGGAUCCAAGGGGUGCUUGCACUUUUUGGUGAGAGUGGCGAACGGGUGAGUAACACGUGAGUAACCUGUCCUUUUCUUUGGGAUAAGCAUUCGAAAGGGUGUUUAAUACCUUAUGUUCUGUCUGCCUCGCAUGGGGUGGGUGGGAAAGGCUUUGGCCGGAUUUGGGUGGGCUCGCGGUCUAUCAGCUUGUUGGUGGGGUGAUGGCUUACCAAGGCUUUGACGGGUAGCCGGCCUGAGAGGGUGGUCGGGCACAUUGGGACUGAGAUACGGCCCAGACUCCUGCGGGAGGCAGCAGUGGGGGAUAGUGCACAAUGGGCGAAAGCCUGAUGCAGCGACGCCGCGUGGGGGAUGAAGGCCUUCGGGUUGUAAACUUCUGUUGCUCUGAACAAGGCAUGCCAGUGGGUGUGUUGAGUGUAGGGGUUGAUUAGCGCCGGCUAACUACGUG